rnacentral:pre_miRNA from 1 species
AGCGUGAUUGCUGGAUCAUAUGGUAAGAGUACGUAUGGUUUUGUAAGAAACCACCAAACUGUUUUCCAAAGUGGCUGUACCAUUUUGCAUUUCCACCAGCAAU